CCCAUGGUUUUUUGCAAAAAUGCCUACAUGUAGUUUGACUUAAUAAUGAACAAUUUUUUACAUCAAUUUGUAGCACAGAGAUUCUUUAGAAAAGCAGAUCAAAGAGUAUCAAGAGUGUCUCUCUUUGUGUUCAAGCACAACUUCCACUUCAGAGGAUGUCUUUACUGACGAAUCAAAAGAUCCUUCAUCCAGUGAGCCUGAUGGAAGGGCUCCUUUAAAGGGCCACAAUGAGAAAUUACGACUUGAGUCUCUUAAUCUUCGCUCGUUAUUGCUACAUGUACCGGAAAUAAAUCUACCCUGGACUGCGUUGAGAGGGGCAUCACAGUGUGGGUGUGGCUCUGCUUUUAACUUCUCAAAGAGAAAGUAUCAUUGCAGUUAUUGUGGUACUGUGGUCUGUAGUACUUUUGGCAGCUAUCAUGCUCCAUUGCGUUAUCUGGCAACAUCAACCACAUCACACAGAGUCUGCAAAUCAUGUUCAAAGAUGAGCAAUAUAAGCAACCAACAGAUUUUAGAAAGAUGAGAAGGAGCAAGUGCUGAUGACACACAAGCAACUCAUAUGACUUGAACAAUACACAAACAAAAAAUAAAACACAAAAAUACAUUUAAUACACAGAAAAAUAGAGUGAAAAGGAGAGAGAGAGGGGGGGUGAGGAUAAUAAACAAGGAAGAAGUAUUGAGAAACUAAUACAUAAUUUAUAUAAUAAUAAUAAUAAUAAUAUAUAGUUAGUUGUUGCUGUUAGAACAAAUGUAAAAAAUGUACCCAACACUUAAA